AGAGUUUGAUCCUGGCUCAGGAUGAACGCUAGCUACAGGCUUAACACAUGCAAGUCGAGGGGCAGCAUGGUCUUAGCUUGCUAAGACUGAUGGCGACCGGCGCACGGGCGAGUAACACGUAUCCAACCUGCCGUCUACUCUUGGACAGCCUUCUGAAAGGAAGAUUAAUACAAGAUGGCAUCAUGAGUCCGCAUGUUCACAUGAUUAAAGGUAUUCCGGUAGACGAUGGGGAUGCGUUCCAUUAGAUAGUAGGCGGGGUAACGGCCCACCUAGUCUUCGAUGGAUAGGGGUUCUGAGAGGAAGGUCCCCCACAUUGGAACUGAGACACGGUCCAAACUCCUACGGGAGGCAGCAGUGAGGAAUAUUGGUCAAUGGGCGAGAGCCUGAACCAGCCAAGUAGCGUGAAGGAUGACUGCCCUAUGGGUUGUAAACUUCUUUUAUAAAGGAAUAAAGUCGGGUAUGCAUACCCGUUUGCAUGUACUUUAUGAAUAAGGAUCGGCUAACUCCGUGCCAGCAGCCGCGGUAAUACGGAGGAUCCGAGCGUUAUCCGGAUUUAUUGGGUUUAAAGGGAGCGUAGAUGGAUGUUUAAGUCAGUUGUGAAAGUUUGCGGCUCAACCGUAAAAUUGCAGUUGAUACUGGAUAUCUUGAGUGCAGUUGAGGCAGGCGGAAUUCGUGGUGUAGCGGUGAAAUGCUUAGAUAUCACGAAGAACUCCGAUUGCGAAGGCAGCCUGCUAAGCUGCAACUGACAUUGAGGCUCGAAAGUGUGGGUAUCAAACAGGAUUAGAUACCCUGGUAGUCCACACGGUAAACGAUGAAUACUCGCUGUUUGCGAUAUACUGCAAGCGGCCAAGCGAAAGCGUUAAGUAUUCCACCUGGGGAGUACGCCGGCAACGGUGAAACUCAAAGGAAUUGACGGGGGCCCGCACAAGCGGAGGAACAUGUGGUUUAAUUCGAUGAUACGCGAGGAACCUUACCCGGGCUUAAAUUGCAGAUGAAUUACGGUGAAAGCCGUAAGCCGCAAGGCAUCUGUGAAGGUGCUGCAUGGUUGUCGUCAGCUCGUGCCGUGAGGUGUCGGCUUAAGUGCCAUAACGAGCGCAACCCUUGUUGUCAGUUACUAACAGGUUCCGCUGAGGACUCUGACAAGACUGCCAUCGUAAGAUGUGAGGAAGGUGGGGAUGACGUCAAAUCAGCACGGCCCUUACGUCCGGGGCUACACACGUGUUACAAUGGGGGGUACAGAGGGCCGCUACCACGCGAGUGGAUGCCAAUCCCCAAAACCUCUCUCAGUUCGGACUGGAGUCUGCAACCCGACUCCACGAAGCUGGAUUCGCUAGUAAUCGCGCAUCAGCCACGGCGCGGUGAAUACGUUCCCGGGCCUUGUACACACCGCCCGUCAAGCCAUGGGAGCCGGGGGUACCUGAAGUGCGUAACCGCGAGGAGCGCCCUAGGGUAAAACUGGUGACUGGGGCUAAGUCGUAACAAGGUA
rnacentral:rRNA from 1 species